rnacentral:rRNA from 1 species
UGUUUGGAGAGUUUGAUCCUGGCUCAGGACGAACGCUGGCGGCGUGCUUAACACAUGCAAGUCGAACGGUGAAGGGGCUGGCUUUGCUGGUCCUGGAUGAGUGGCGAACGGGUGAGUAACACGUGAGUAACCUGCCCCCUUCUUCUGGAUAACCGCAUGAAAGUGUGGCUAAUACGGGAUAUUCUGGGUCUGUCGCAUGGUGGGCCUGGGAAAGAUUGCGCUUUUUGGUGUUUUUGGUGGGGGAUGGGCUCGCGGCCUAUCAGCUUGUUGGUGGGGUGAUGGCCUACCAAGGCGGUGACGGGUAGCCGGCCUGAGAGGGUGGACGGUCACACUGGGACUGAGACACGGCCCAGACUCCUACGGGAGGCAGCAGUGGGGAAUAUUGCACAAUGGGCGCAAGCCUGAUGCAGCGACGCCGCGUGAGGGAUGGAGGCCUUCGGGUUGUGAACCUCUUUCGCCAGUGAAGCAGGCCUGCUCCUUUUUUGUGGGUGGGUUGACGGUAGCUGGAUAAGAAGCGCCGGCUAACUACGUGCCAGCAGCCGCGGUAAUACGUAGGGCGCGAGCGUUGUCCGGAAUUAUUGGGCGUAAAGAGCUCGUAGGCGGCUGGUCGCGUCUGUCGUGAAAUCCUCUGGCUUAACUGGGGGCUUGCGGUGGGUACGGGCCGGCUUGAGUGCGGUAGGGGAGGCUGGAACUCCUGGUGUAGCGGUGGAAUGCGCAGAUAUCAGGAAGAACACCGGUGGCGAAGGCGGGUCUCUGGGCCGUUACUGACGCUGAGGAGCGAAAGCGUGGGGAGCGAACAGGAUUAGAUACCCUGGUAGUCCACGCCGUAAACGUUGGGCACUAGGUGUGGGGGGCCUUUUCCGGGUUUUCCGCGCCGUAGCUAACGCAUUAAGUGCCCCGCCUGGGGAGUACGGCCGCAAGGCUAAAACUCAAAGGAAUUGACGGGGGCCCGCACAAGCGGCGGAGCAUGCGGAUUAAUUCGAUGCAACGCGAAGAACCUUACCAAGGCUUGACAUGUGCCGGUUUGCUCCGGAGACGGGGUUUCCUCCCUUGUGGGGGCUGGUUCACAGGUGGUGCAUGGUUGUCGUCAGCUCGUGUCGUGAGAUGUUGGGUUAAGUCCCGCAACGAGCGCAACCCUUGUCUCGUGUUGCCAGCACGUUGUGGUGGGGACUCGCGGGAGACUGCCGGGGUCAACUCGGAGGAAGGUGGGGAUGACGUCAAAUCAUCAUGCCCCUUAUGUCUUGGGCUUCACGCAUGCUACAAUGGCCGGUACAGAGGGCUGCGAUACCGUGAGGUGGAGCGAAUCCCUUAAAGCCGGUCUCAGUUCGGAUCGGUGUCUGCAACUCGACACCGUGAAGUUGGAGUCGCUAGUAAUCGCAGAUCAGCAACGCUGCGGUGAAUACGUUCUCGGGCCUUGUACACACCGCCCGUCACGUCAUGAAAGUCGGCAACACCCGAAGCCCGUGGCCCUAUGGGGAGCGGUCGAAGGUGGGGCUGGUGAUUGGGACGAAGUCGUAACAAGGUAGCCGUACCGGAAGGUGCGGCUGGAUCACCUCCUUUCUA